GGGCGGGACUUGUCGCCCAGCAACGAGGGCUUAGGUCUUUUCGGAUUCGCUGACCCUCUGGCCCAGCGGUCUCCGCCCGCCGCCGAUCGGGGUCGUCGAUCUCCCGUCACCAGGACCCCGCUAGAGAAACCCCUCCUGGGUCCUUUCCUCGUACUGUAGCCGUCGUCGGCUGACGCGUCCACGUUACGGAUCUUCAUCCGGAUGGCAGGCCUUCUCCCGGCUCCGGGGCGGGAGUUUCUCCGGGCUUUGCGGAGUCUCGGAGAGGGUGGCGGGGAGGGAGAGACCCUCAGGGACUUGGUGUAGCGAUCUUAUUCGCACCCCCCCUCCCCUGCCGCCGGGGCUUGUGGAGGGGGGGGGCAGACCCCGGUUAAUGAUGAUGAUUCAAUCAUCGGCGCCUGCGGAGGCCUGGGACAGACUAAUGCAGAGCAGAUGCCGAAGGAGGAGGGGAGGAGGAUUGGGACACUACAGCACAGAGACACGCCGAAGCAGCAAGAGACUGCAGUAGCAUAGGCCCAGCCCCGUACUCAGGAGAAUCUUAGGAGCUCUAGACCUUGUACACCGCGAUCUCUAGGUACUUCCAGUGGGACUGAAAACCAAGGAUAAGUUUACUGUGAAGUAUUAACAUCAGGUGUAGUUGGGACACUCAAGGGAGUGAUCCCAGUGGAGACCACCGAGGGCGGUCUUUCUUUCUGGAAGAAGUGGGACUUUGUGUGCGCCCAGUUUAGAGAAUAGGGUUGGGAUGCAUGGAUAAGAAGUAUGGUGGGAAAAGAGAAAAAGGCAGAGUGAAGGGCAAUGACUGGAAAGACGGACAGGAAGAAGGCCACGGUGUGGAUUUGAGAGUAGUGAUACAAGCAAGACCUCGUGGAGCUGGGACUUUAGCCUAAGGGCAAUUAGGGAGAUAGCAGACUUUUUUUGAAGGGAGGGAGUUACCCUAUGAAAGAAACGUUUUUGCUCAUUUAUUUUUGAAUAAUUGGAGUGGAUAAGCAGCAAGAAAAUAUGAGAUGAGUGAUUUUGAAAUCAACCCCUUCUCACUACAACCACUGCUUACUUACCUCCCUAGUCCAAGAUACCAUCAUCUGUUCUCUGGAUGAUUGAUUGCAGUGGCUUCUGGCCGGCUUUCCUUGCUCCAUGUUUCCAUAUGAAUAAAAAGAAUAUAAGGAAA